GUUAAGGAAAUUAAUGCACUCGAGCAUUCUUCCUAUUUCCUCUGAUGCAGGUCAUAGGUGGAGUGACAUCAGAUGACAUUUCUUUGUGGGAUAGUUUCGGGAACAACUGUUAUCACACCAUGGAGGAUGUCUUGUUUCUCCCACUCCCAUUUUCAGUUCAUCUGUACAUCUUUGUCUUGCAUGCUGAGGAUAAGUGGUGAUUGGAGUCACAGAUUCAGGUACUUGUAUUUUGUAUCUGUUUUCAAAUUGUUCAUCUUCUGCAUUGUCAUCAGCUGUCAGAUUUGAUUAGUCCAUCCAUCACCUGUAGAUGAACUAUUUGGACUUUGCUACUAUUCAGAAAAUAGUCAGAGGAGGAGACCUCUUCAUAAUUUUUAACCCAGUCUUCUUAGCAUAUGCACAACUGGCUACAGGUGGCAUGUGACCAGGAUCCAUCACUGCAUUUGGUCCACUGGUUGGAUCAUUAGCUUCCCUGGCUUGGGCUGGGUACUGACAGGGAGUGCAACGUUAAAUUCCCUCCUCUGCCUGAUGUAAAGAAAGGAUUUGAACUUGAUUCUCCUACUGGGCUAAAGAGUGGUCCAGUCAUUGCACCAUGGGAUAGUCCCAGGUGGAUAACUUUCAAUCUCUCCUGUUAAAGCUGUUCCACUUUGUAUAAAUAAGUAUUCAUUAGACCAAGGAUUUGAACUUAAAUCUCCUACACUCCAGGCAACUACCUAACCCACCAUGCUGUAGAAUUGCUCCAAUGCUAAUGCCUGGGUCUAAUAUCUAUUCAUUGUCAUUAUGAAUGAGUCUGAAUUCCCACUGUGAUUUAUAAACUGCCCAGGUAACUACCUGCUAACUACCUCAUCCUCUGGCUGUUUUGUGAAUCUAGCUCUAUAAAAAUGAUAAACAAUUCCAUUUUGGGUCAACAUUUUGAUGAAAUCUUUUCACAGCUUUUGGAUUUGUUUCAUGUUGAACCAAAAAUAUUUUUCAAAUUUUCUGAACUGCCAGGGGUCAAAUGAGCUAUAUGCUUCCAGCCAGCCUCUUUCUCUCCCUCUCUGAACCAAGAAGGGAAGGUUAGGCAUUUUAGUCCCCAGGACAGUUAGGCUUACAGUUCAGGGUACUGGCAAGGCCUUCUGGGAAAGGGGUUGGGUCUUUGAGAACAGGAAGGGAUGCAGAGGAAGCCAGAGGGGCUAAGGAGUCUCUUCUAGGAAAAAGGGGUAAGUAGCACAUUUUUGUUUGUUUUUCAUUUUGCAUAUGCUGAGCUUUUAUUUGAAAAGUCUUUGAGGCUGACCUAUCUGGGGAGAGGCUGGGUUACCUUCACAAAGACUGAGGGGAAGAAAGCCCUAAUAGGGGAAGUGUUUUGUUUGUUUUGGAAAGAACUCUAUGGGUGUGGACCUUUGUUUGGUUUGGUCUGGUCUGGUCUGGUCUGGUCUGCCACAACAGGCAUGGUCAGCACAAUUUAGUUUGAACCCUUGUUAAGUAAAAGGAAACAUGGAGGAGGUUCUAAAGUACCUGGUUCAAGAGGAGUAGCCAAGAACAGCUGUAGUGAGAUAGUUGGCUAAGCAAGAACAAGAGCAACAAUUUAUGAGAAAGCAACAAGAGGCCCUUGAACAGUUCCUGUAGCAGCUCAUACAACAGCUUGCUAUUUCUGGGCCACUCACAGAUCUAAAUCUGCUGGCUAGUUUGGAAGUUAGAGCCAAUCUGAUUAUAUAAUAUUGAAGUAUAUUUGGCUCCCUCUGAGAGGAUUGCCAUAGUAGCCUACGGGGAUUUCCUUUGUGCCUGAAACAAAUAGUUCAGAUGGCUUGUCUGGGUGUGAACUAAGAUUUGGCCCAGAAUUUUGACCUCGGGGGAGAAAUAAGGCAUCCUAGACUGGAAUAGGGAUCUUUGAGGAGCCUUUUCCUACAAGAACAAGCACCCCAAUAGAGGCUAUAGAGCAGUCCAAGUAGCUGACAAAAUUGCUGUAUUCUGUUUCCUAGUCCUGGAGGAAUAGGAAAGGUGGGCCUGAAUGUUAGUCUGGCUGCUGGUGAAGAAACAUAUUAAAGGUCUCCUGGAGCUGAUAAUUGAGGAGGAGAACUUGAAAGUGCCUCUUAUGAAGAGCAUCACUGUGUGUGGCUAGUAAGGGGAAACUCUGUCAGGACUUUCCAUCUAUAUCUGUUUGAGGUAGACUAAGCAUAGCCACGUUCUAGCGGGGCUGAUAAUUAUACCUUGUCCUGAUCCUAUCUUACAAGAAAGGACCUUGCCUGAGGGAAUUGUGUGUAGGGUUUCGCUGUUGUAAAUUCAAAUUGUGAAGUUCCAUCCCAUCUACAAAAAUCCAGGAAUUAAAGCACAAGGUUUUGUGGGUAAGGUUGUUUGUGAGUUUGAUUGGAGAAGAUGGAGGGAAGCUUUGUCCAACUGGAUUGGCUGGGAAAUGAGGCUUCUGAGUUAGGAGAAGAAUCUUUUGUAGUUCUGACACCUAACAUCUUAACACAUUCCUUUGAUGUAGUAACUGAGCAGUGCCAAGUGGUUGGUGCAUCAGCUGAUAUCAUGAGCAAAGUAACAGAAUAAACUAAAAGGUUAAUACCUUAAAUAUCUCAUGUAGAUCUAAAAUAAAUCACAUCAAUGACAGUUGGUUUUCAAGUAAGAGGUAGUCUGGAAUCCAGGUAUAGCAUGUUCAAUUAUGCAGAUAUGUUCUAGCUAGCAAGAAUACUAAACAUACUUUUCAUCCUGAUCAUCGAUAUUAUAUUAUAAUACAAGAAAGGGAUACAGCAAGUAGAAAUAUAAUUUUGAAGUAUGUUGCAUCAGAACUAGUGCUUUUAGAGUUAAUCUGUAGGUAAGAAAAGAGAUGCAAACAGAUAUUACUACCUGCACGGUCUUAGGCAGUGAUGCCAUCAUUAUCUGUUAAAAGAAAUACAGAACAUGAAUUUAGAACUUGGAUGAUAAGUGAAGGAGAAGGUGACUUUCAGAUAUAUUGUUUUAGAAUGUUAAAGGUGUCUGCAAUUUCUAAACCUAAAUAUUCUGGUUAAAUUUAAUCAAUUACAGUCAUGUGGCGUUACACUGGGGAUGAAUUUGACCCAUUAUGUUAUGGAGUUUCUUUGUUUUAUAAGCCUUGAAGUUCAUAUUUAAUUCUAUGACAACAGGAAAUCUGAGAUCAAGCACUGUGAGUGGCAACAUAUUUUCAGCUAUUACAUAUUUUUUUAAAUCUAUCAUUUUAAUAAUUUACUAAAAAAAGUGUUUUGAUGUUUCUCUUCUGAAUGGCAUUUGUAAUUCGACCUCAAGAUACCUCCUGAGGAUCUCUACAUGCUCCUAGUUUUACCUCAUAAAAAUUUAAUUUUUUCCUCUAAUUGCUGUAAACUUGGAGUAACUUUGUGCUAAUCGCAGUUGCCAUAAAUUUCUGAAGUUUGUAACAACUCUGUGGUAAAACUGAAAUUUACACAAAUUGCCAUUUGUUCCCCACAAUCAUCAUAACUGAUAAUAACAAUAUCUCACUCGCUGGGGCAGCCAGUAUUCAAGCAAACAGCCUGUUGUUGUGGUAAGCAUAGACAAUGUGCUUGGCACUGUGCAAGGCAUAAAUAUAAUAUAAUAAACCUUGCUCAUAGGAGCUAGAAGGGAACAUGACAAAAUGCACUGGGAGCCCCCAAACAAGUCAUUAACAUAGGGCCAGAUUGUGCUCUCUUACACCUUCUGGCUUCUCGGCACACCAAUGCAGCUCAAUUACCAAUGGAGGGAUUUGAAGACAGAAUGAUUUGACUUGUUUGGCAGGCCAGGAAAGUCAUUUUAGUAGCUGUGUUUUGAAUGGACUGGAGGAGAGUGAUUUAGAUGAGUGGGGCGGGGGCAAGUGGGGAGAGGAGAAAGAAGAGAUGACUUGGCCAUCUAGUUGCAUUACAUUAUAAAGCAGCAUUUCAAUGCAUCUUGUUGCAACCACCCAGUGAAAAUGGGAAGAGGUGGGGAUUAGGUGCUAUAUGGACAGGGGCAGAACAUGUCUGACUGAAUAGGGGAAGCGAAUGGGGCAGAAACAAGAGCAGAAUGGGGGAGGUUUCCUAACUCUCCCCCACCUCCCAACAGCUCCUAUUCCCCCCCUACCUUGAACAACUUUCCCAUAGCUACUGCAUCUGCACCCCUGUUUCACUCCAGUGUCCCUCCAGGCACCUUCUCUCCUGCCCCACCCUCCAGUUACCCAUAUAUGAUUGUCUGUACCCCAUGUUCACCCUUUUUACAAGAUUACUAUAAAUUUUGUACACAAUAUGCCUUGUGAGGUAUCAUUUGAAAACUCAUAAUCUGCUGAACAUCAUUGUUCUAGUGAAAUCUAUGUGGCAUUGUAUGUAAAGUUAUAAGAUUCUACUGUAUAACAUUGCUGUAACAUGUUCCAAAGUUAGAAAGUCGUGCCCAAACCAGUUCUUUAGAGACAAAGAUACUGGCAUAUCCUGACAGGUAUCAACAAAGUCAGGUGGGCUAUCACUUAACUAAGCGGCCAUUCUCAGGCAGGGGGAAGGAUUUAACAAGAAAUUUACAGUUCAUUACAAGGACGGUUCAAACCUCACGUCCACAAGAGAUUAUUUUGUCACCACGACUCAGCAAGGAUGUUUCUAGCACAAGAAAUUGAAUUAUAAAGAGGGGAGAAAAACACUUGACCUCACUCUCCUUCUUCAUCUCUGCUCAUGACAUCAACAACUCCUAAAGAACUGAAUUUGGGGAGGCUCUUCAGCCAGUACAGACUGCUGUAAGCUUAUGAGGAUUCUGUGGUUAUAACAGACGAGGAUUUCAGCAGAACAUCAUUCAUUACUGAGGCUGGUUUGAUUGCUGCAUUGAUGUUUAUGUUACCAGAUUCUUCCACCGAUGGCAUUUGCUACAGGUGUAGAAGUUUUGCCUAAGAUACAGUACAGUAUAUACUCUGUUAAAUUCACCAGCAUAGGGUAAUUAAAGCUUUGUCACAAAUAACCAUCACAUAAUCUGUUUGCCAGUAGCUUGUCAACUGCUUGCCUCAGAAGACUUUUGCAGUCCUCAUUUGCAAUGUAAAACUGCCUUUGCUGAAGGUCUGCAGCAAAGAUGCAGAGCUAUAGCCAUACCAGGCUGCCAGAAGGCAUAUUGUCCCUGUUGGGUAGUCAUGGCUAGGCUAGAUCUUCUACAGAUAUAUAAUCAAAUCAUGUAAAAUAUGGUCUGUGAUGGCCUGAAAAAGAUGAAGGCAUACAUGAGGAAUCAUAGGCUAUCUAAUCUAGUCCCUUGUACAAAGCCAAAUGCAGAUAACUAUAAAUAAAUACCAAAUUUCUUUAUAGCCACCCACUGUUUUGGAAACACAUUCAGUUCCAUUUGCCAAGUACUAGUUUGCAGAGCCUGUUUUUCCUUCUUAACAGUGAAAAUAAAUCUUGGCUGUUUAUAUAUUUUCAACUGUAUGUUUUCUAGCAGCAUGUAGACAUUGAUUAACCUAAACAUUUGGUGUUGUCAAGAUCAGAUAUUAACUGCAGCUCAAUGGCUGUGAUAUUAGCUGGAGACAGUCCAAUUAUCCUCUUGCGGGGGUUAAGCAAUGGUUUAAUUUCUUGCAUAUUUCUGUGAUCCAGUUCUGUGUCCUGGGCUAUCUCCCAGAUGAUUCAAAGUUAAGCCAAGUUUGUAUUUUUUUAAAAUCGCACUAUAGAUCCUCCCUGAUUGAAGUAACCUCGUUAUCUCUAGCCUACUUCUUGCUUGCAUAUAUAUACCUGCCCCUGGAAAUUUCCACUAUAUGCAUCCAACAAAGUGGGUAUUCACCCAUGAAAGCUCAUACUCCAA